UACAGAGGGGGCAAGCGUUAUUCGGAAUUAUUGGGCGUAAAGGGCGCGUAGACGGCAUGGCAAGUGGAUGGUGAAAUCCCUCGGCUUAACCGAGGAACUGCCGUCCAAACUGCUUCGCUUGAGACCGGGAGAGGUGAGUGGAAUUCCCAGUGUAGCGGUGAAAUGCGUAGAUAUUGGGAGGAACACCAGUGGCGAAGGCGGCUCACUGGACCGGUACUGACGCUGAUGCGCGAAAGCGUGGGGAGCAAACGGG
rnacentral:rRNA from 1 species